UACGUAUCAAGAGUGCGGUGAGAGUUCUGGCUCUGCGACCCGCCGGCAACUGCUCUAAGAGCGUUGUGCCACUUCCAGCCCUUUGCAGGGAAAGAUAUCUU
rnacentral:ncRNA from 2 species